UCGGGAAUUUUGGGCAAUGGGCGAAAGCCUGACCCAGCGACGCCGCGUGAGGGAUGAAGUAUUUCGGUAUGUAAACCUCGAAAGAAUGGGAAGAAUAAAUGACGGUACCAUUUAUAAGCUCCGGCUAACUACGUGCCAGCAGCCGCGGUAAUACGUAGGGAGCAAGCGUUGUUCGGAUUUACUGGGCGUAAAGGGCGCGUAGGCGGCGCGGUAAGUCACUUGUGAAAUCUCUGAGCUUAACUCAGAACGGCAAAGUGAUACUGCUGUGCUAGAGUGCGGAAGAGGCUACCGGAAUUCUUGGUGUAGCGGUGAAAUGCGUAGAUAUCAAGAGGAACACCUGAGGCGGAGGCGGGUUGCUGGGCCGACACUGACGCUGAUGCGCGAAAGCCAGGGGAGCAAACG
rnacentral:rRNA from 1 species